UUGGAGGGCAAGUCUGGUGCCAGCAGCCGCGGUAAUUCCAGCUCCAAUAGCGUAUGUUAAAGUUGUUGCAGUUAAAAAGCUCGUAGUUGAAUUUCGGGAUCAAAGAAUCGGUCAUGCCUUGGUAUGUACUGGUUUUAUUGGUUCUCACCUUCUAAAGAACCAUGAUGUCAUUAAUUUGGUGUUAUGGGAAAUCAGGUCUGUUACUUUGAAAAAAUUAGAGUGUUUAAAGCAGGCAUUAGCUUGAAUACAUAGCAUGGAGUAAUGAAAUAGGACGUUCGAACCUAUUUUGUUGGUUUUUAGGAUCAACGUAAUGAUUAAUAGGGAUAGUUGGGGGCAUUAGUAUUCAAUUGUCAGAGGUGAAAUUCUUGGAUUUAUUGAAGACUAACUACUGCGAAAGCAUUUGCCAAGGAUGUUUUCAUUAAUCAAGAACGAAAGUUAGGGGAUCGAAGACGAUCAGAUACCGUCGUAGUCUUAACCAUAAACUAUGCCGACUAGGGAUCGGAUGAUGUUGAUUUUAUAAUGACUCAUUCGGCGCCUUACGGGAAAC
rnacentral:rRNA from 1 species